rnacentral:misc_RNA from 1 species
GAUGAAGAACGUAGCGAAAUGCGAUACGUAAUGUGAAUUGCAGAAUUCAGUGAAUCAUCGAAUCUUUGAACGCAUAUUGCGCUCUCUGGUAUUCCGGAGAGCAUGCUUGUUUGAGUAUCAGUAAACACCUCAACUUCCAUAUCUUUUUUGAAAUGGGAGUUGGACUUGAGUGAUCCCAACGCUUUUCCUCACCGAAAAGUGGCGGGUUACUUGAAAUGCAGGUGCAGCUGGACUUUUCUCUGAGCUAUAAGCAUAUCUAUUUAGUCUGCCUAAAAAACAGAUUAUUACCUUUGCUGCAGCUAACAUAAAGGAGAUUAGUUCUUGUGCUGACUGAUGCAGGAUUCACAAGGACGGCUUCGGCCGACUUUGUAAACUCGAUCUCAAAUCAAGUAAGACUACCCGCUGAACUUAAGCAUAUCAAUAAGCGGAGGA